rnacentral:lncRNA from 1 species
UAGGGGAGAACAGGGUAAUUAAAUCACUGCCCCUCUGCCUUCUCUUCUGCUCUCCCUCUCUUCUCUCUCUUCUCCGUCCUCUCUCAGCGAUCCCUCCUUCCAACUCUUGGAUCAUUGUCCUCCUUUGUCAGAUCUCGCGCCCCCUCAUCCUGCACCUCCUCUCCCGCUGCAUGUUCCCUCUUUCCUCCUCUCCUUGUUCUCCCUUCUUCCUACUAAAUGGAUGGAACAUGCAAAACGGGGGCUAAAUUUGAAGCUUAAGAGGGCGCCCUACACAACCUAUCGAUGUGAGAAACGGUAUCUCCGGUGUGGUCAAUGAACACGAGUGCAUACUGCAUAGGCAGUGACACCCGUAGACAAAACACAGCAACUCUCAUUUCGUUUUCUACGAAAAGACCAGUUGAAGUAGGUUCCUCCCAAUACAAUUUUAUAAAAGAGUACAUGUCUGUAGCCUACUAUAUAUUCUAUAUAAAAGACUGAUGGAGAGACACGUUAGAAAAGUCUGGCCCAUCCUCUUAUCCUUCGGUUCCAUUCAAUAUAUUGCUCUUCGCCUGCAGAUGACGCUAUCAGGCAGUGGUCGUUGGGAAUACGCACUGUUCUUCAUGAACCUUACGUCAGUUGACAGGAGAUUGACGGUGACAGCUGCUCACAGAGGGGAGGUGAAAGAUGUGGCCAAACAUGUCAUGGCAAAGGUCAGUGUGAAAGCAUGCCAGUCCACUCCUUCACAUCCAAGGCAACGUCCGGAAUGGACUCUCCUUCAAAGGACAGACAUACAUGUAUCAUCAGUGGCAGGGUUAACUUCAAGG